rnacentral:rRNA from 1 species
AAUCAACGCUGGCGGCGUGCCUCAGACAUGCAAGUCGAACGAUUAAAGCUCUCUUCGGAGAGUGUAUAGAGUGGCGCACGGGUGAGUAACACGUAAGUAAUCUACCUCGAGUGGGGAAUAACAACCGGAAACGGUUGCUAAUACCGCAUAAUGCAGCGGCACCGCAAGGUGACAGUUGUUAAAGAUUUAUCGCUUGAGGAGGAGCUUGCGGCAGAUUAGCUAGUUGGUAGGGUAACGGCUUACCAAGGCUACGAUCUGUAACCGGUCUAAGAGGACGGUCGGUCACACUGACACUGAAUAACGGGUCAGACUCCUACGGGAGGCAGCAGUCGGGAAUUUGGGCAAUGGGCGAAAGCCUGACCCAGCAACGCCGCGUGAAGGAUGAAGUAUUUCGGUAUGUAAACUUCGAAAGAAUAGGAAGAAUUAAUGAC